rnacentral:rRNA from 1 species
AGCUCCAAUAGCGUAUAUUAAAGUUGUUGCAGUUAAAAAGCUCGUAGUUUGAUUUCUGGACGGGCGCCAACACCCGCUUGUUAGUGUGGAGGCGGCACCCGCCCAUCCUUCUGUUAACGCCGCCGGCAUUUGUUUGCUGGUGGCGGGCUCAGAUAUUUUACCUUGAGAAAAUUAGAGUGUUUCAGGCAGGCUUGCGCCUAGAUACAUUAGCAUGGAAUAAUAGAAUAGGACUUUGACCUCUUCUGUUGGUCUGAGGGGUGAGAGUAAUGAUUAAUAGGGAUAGUUGGGGGCAUUAGUACUUAACUGCUAGAGGUGAAAUUCUCAGAUUUGUUAAAGACUAACUUAUGCGAAAGCAUUUGCCAAGGAUGUUUUCAUUA